GGUCUUGCUGUCACUUAUAGAUGGAUCCGCGCUGCAUUAGCUAGUUGGUAAGGUAACGGCUUACCAAGGCAACGAUGCAUAGCCGACCUGAGAGGGUGAUCGGCCACACUGGAACUGAGACACGGUCCAGACUCCUACGGGAGGCAGCAGUAGGGAAUCUUCCGCAAUGGGCGAAAGCCUGACGGAGCAACGCCGCGUGAGUGAUGAAGGUCUUCGGAUCGUAAAACUCUGUUAUUAGGGAAGAACAUAUGUGUAAGUAACUGUGCACAUCUUGACGGUACCUAAUCAGAAAGCCACGGCUAACUACGUGCCAGCAGCCGCGGUAAUACGUAGGUGGCAAGCGUUAUCCGGAAUUAUUGGGCGUAAAGCGCGCGUAGGCGGUUUUUUAAGUCUGAU
rnacentral:rRNA from 1 species